rnacentral:rRNA from 1 species
UAAUACGUAGGUGGCGAGCGUUGUCCGGAAUUAUUGGGCGUAAAGAGCAUGUAGGCGGCUUUUUAAGUCGGUCGUGAAAAUGCGGGGCUUAACCCCGUAUUGCGGUCGAAACUGGAGGGCUUGAGUGCAGGAGAGGAAAGGGGAAUUCCCAGUGUAGCGGUGAAAUGCGUAGAUAUUGGGAGGAACACCAGUGGCGAAGGCGCCUUUCUGGACUGUGUCUGACGCUGAGAUGCGAAAGCCAGGGUAGCAAACGGG